GGAAACCCUGGAGAUAUUCUCAGAUGACAUUGAGAAGAGGAAGCGCCAGUUCCAGAAGAAGGCUGGAGAGGCGCGCCCUCGAGAGCUCAGGAUUGAGAUGGAAGAAACAGGGCAAGUACCCAGAAGUCCACAUUCCCCUGAGAAUCUACAGCCGUUUCCUGCCUUUAAUUCCUAUACUUGCUCCUCUGGUUCUGCUUUGGGUCCUACCAGCACUGAGGGCCAUGGGGCUGGCUCCAUUUCUCCUCUUAGCAGAAGUCCUCGUUCCCAAGAAGACUUUCUGCUGAUCCCUGGGUCACCCACUGCGAGCCAGGGAAGUCCUUCAUUCUGCAUUGGGAGCCUGGAGGAAGACUCUCCUUCCCUUCGUUUGCCCAGAUGCUGAGAGUUGGCAAAGCAAAAGCAGAUGUGUGGCCCAAAACUGUUCCCAAGAAAGAUGAAAACAGCGUAGUCCCUCCUGCCGUUGUGGACUGUGUUGGGGAGAGUGAUAACUCGGACCGUGUUCCUGUGCCCAGUUUCCAAAAUUCCUUCAACCAAGCUAUGGAAGCAGCCUUCAUGAAACUGGACACGCCUGCUACUUCAGAUGCCCUCUCUGAAGAGAAAGGAGGAAAGA